UACGAAGGGUGCAAGCGUUACUCGGAAUUACUGGGCGUAAAGCGUGCGUAGGUGGUGAGUUAAGUCUGUCGUGAAAGCCCCGGGCUCAACCUGGGAAUGGCAUUUGGGACUGCAAGGCUGGAGUGCGGCAGAGGAGACUGGAAUUCCUGGUGUAGCAGUGAAAUGCGUAGAUAUCAGGAGGAAUACCGAUGGCGAAGGCAGGUCACUGGGCCGCAACUGACGCUGAGGAGCGAAAGCAUGGGGAGCGAACAGG
rnacentral:rRNA from 1 species